rnacentral:tRNA from 1 species
GCGCACAUAGCUCAGCAAGGAAAGAGCGGUUGCCUACGGAGCAACUGGUCGCGGGUUCAAAUCCCCCUGUGCGCU